rnacentral:rRNA from 1 species
GACGAACGCUGGCGGCGUGCUUAAUACAUGCAAGUCGAACGGAAAGGCCCUGCUUUUGUGGGGUGCUCGAGUGGCGAACGGGUGAGUAACACGUGAGUAUCCUGUCCUUGACUUUGUGAUAUCUUUUGGAAACUGGGGCUCAUAUCGGAUAGGAGCUCUUGAUGCGUGGUGGGCGUUGGUAAGUUUCGGCGGUUGGGGAUCGACUAGCGGCUUAUCCGCUUGUUGGUGGGGUAGUGGCUUUCCAAGGUUGUGAAGGGUAGCCGGCCUGAGAGGGUUACCGGCCACAUGGGGACUAAGGUACGGCCCAGACGCCUACGGUAGGCAGCAGUGGGGAAUAUUGCACAAUGGGCGGAAGCCUGAGGCAGCAACGCCGCGUGCGGGAUGACGGCUUUCGGGGUGUAAACCGCUUUCGCCUGUGACGAAGCGUGAGUGACGGUAAUGGGUAAAGAAGCACCGGCUAACUACGUG